rnacentral:sRNA from 1 species
GUAAAUGGGGUUGUGGGGUACUUAAGAUCAGAUAAUGGCUUGCGGUAAGGGAUUAGAUAACAUACGAUCAGACUUUCGCGGUAAGGGAUUAGAUAACAUACGAUCAGACUUUUGCAAUGAAACAAAAGAAACAAUCGAGCUAAUCUAUCAACCAGGUUUCGUGAAAAAUAAUUGCAAUCCCAAUCUAAAUCCAUCACUACCAUCACAUGAAAGCGUCCACUGCUCUCUGUCAAUGAGAAUGAGUUCAAUAAAAUUGGCCUUCACAUAACAUAAUUAAGAUCAGACCUUGGCCUUAGAAGAGGUGGGCUUAAUCCAGCAGAGAUCCUCAUGGGCUUCAAAAGGUUGGGUAAUGGGCUGAAGGGAGAGCAUAAAUAACUUGGGCUAGGCCCAAAGCGAGAGACUCUUUUUUGAAGCUUUUUCUCUGUUUGUUUUUCUCUUAUUGUAAUAAAAGGUUUUAGCUUCUGAAUUGGUUUUUAGCUCUAUCACUUCUCUCCUUUGAUGUUGCAGUUUAGAUCCUCUUCACAGUCAGUCUUCUCUAGACUGAAAGACCUCAACUUAUAUCUUCCUGAACUUUAUCCAAAUUGAUAUAUGAUUAAGAACACCACCAUCAAACCAUGUCCUUGUUGCUUUAACGAUUCACAGACCAAACACACUUUAAUCCCUUUUCACUUCACCUCUUGUGAAAAAUCUUUCACAUAUUUCUUUUUCACGGUGUCUCUUUCCAUCCUCUUAUGAUUUUGUUUUGUCUAAUCAAUACGUGCCUUAAUUUUCAAACUUUCCACUUGCUCCAUACUUUUUCUUCGAAAAUCCCUUAUUUUCCUUGUUAGUAAAACCUUUUAUCAAGCUCAUCGAGGGGUAGCUUAGUUAAGUCAAUAUCUCUAUCCUAUUACUAUGUCGUUUUAAUCCUUAGAUUGUUUAUUUAAACUAUGAUGUCUCAUCAUUAGGUUU